rnacentral:misc_RNA from 1 species
GUGAAUCAUCGAAUCUUUGAACGCAUAUUGCACUCUCUGGCUCUCCAGAGAGUAUGCCUGUUUGAGUAUCAUUUUAAAUCUCUCACUCCCAAUUGGGGAUGAGGAAUUGAGCAAUCCGCUGGCGCUAAAUUGUUUACGCGGUUUAGUGAUUGAAUGCGGUUGCUUGAAAUGUAUAGCUAAGCGGUAUUGACCACUGCUUAAGAUGACUAGGCGUAUUAGUUUCCCAUUUGGGAAUCCACUCGUGCGCCGGUGUAUUGGUCUCUAAAGCCUUUGUGUUGGUUGAUCGCUAUGCUUUCUUAA